UAACAAGGAUUCCCCUAGUAACGGCGAGUGAAGCGGGAACAGCUCAAGACCAGAAUCCCCUCGCAAGGGGGGAGUUGUAGUCUAUGGACUGCCUCUCUGUAGGUGGCCGGCUUAGUAAGUCUCCUGGAACGGAGCGCCAGAGAGGGUGAUAGCCCCGUCUCUUUGCUGGUCACUUGCUCUAUGUGAGGUAGUUCGCGAGUCGGGUUGUUUGGGAAUGCAGCCCUAAUCGGGAGGUACGCACCUUCCAAAGCUAAAUAUUCAGGCAAGAGACCGAUAGCGAACAAGUACCGUGAGGGAAAGUUGAAAAGCACUCUGGAGAGAGAGUGAAAAGCACGUGAAACCAUGGGUAGGGAACCGCUUGCACGGUACACUGAGCUGCUGGUCUUUUGCCAGUAGCCGCCUAGCACCAGUUUGAUUCGUGCCGGAAAAAGCCUAGGGCAAGGUAGCGACACUUCGGUGUCGUGUUAUAGGCCCUGGGCAUAUACGGCAUAACGGACUGAGGACUGCGGCAUCUCCAUUUGGGGCGCCGGCUUGGAUGGGCCUUACCACUGGGGCUGUAGAGACAGCAUGCUGACUCUACGGUACCCGGGGGGAGACUCCUAUUCUUGCUGGUGUUAUGCCAAGGGUGGCUGGGAAGUGCCGAACAGACGA
rnacentral:rRNA from 1 species